rnacentral:rRNA from 1 species
AAAUGAUCUACCUAAAGCUGAUUUUAUUAGGAUAUUUUAUUUAUUGUAGCAUAAAUAAGUUANAACCGAUAGGUAGUUAGCGAAACGCUUACAAAUUUAUAGAUAGCUGGAUUAAAAUAAAAUAUAUCUAGUAUAUCAGACAAUUUUAUAUCGAUAAGGAUUUAAAACCAGUGUAAUGUAUUUUUCCUUAACUGAUAUCGGUUAGUAAUACUAUAGGAUUUUAUAAAAAUAAAAUAUUAAGCUAUAAAAUAUUCACUAUAAUUAUUUUAUAUGUUCAAUAAUUAAUCAAUUAAAUAUUAAUAAUGUAUCAAUUAGUAAUAAUUUGAAAGUGUAGGUAAGGAACUCGACAAAUAUUUUAUACGACUGUUUAUCAAAAACAUAACUUUAAGUACACAUUUAAAGUGAAGUCCGCCCAGUGAAUUUUAAACGGCCGCAGUACUUUGACUGUGCAAAGGUAGCAUAAUAAUUUGGCUUUUAAUUGGAGUCUGGUAUGAGUGAAAUCACGUAUAAUAAUUGUCUCACACUAUAUAAAAAAGAAAUUAUUAGAAGAAGUGAAAAUGCUUCUGGUAUUUAUUAAUAGACGAGAAGACCCUUAGAAUUUUUACUAGUAAUAAUAUUCACUUAUUAAUGUUUUAGUUGGGGCAACUCUAUUUCAUACAAAUAAAUAGUUAGAAUAAACUUUAUACCGAUUGUAUAUAUAAAAAUAAAUUACCUAAGGGAUAACAGCAUAAUUUAAAUAAUAAGAUUGUGACCUCGAUGUUGGACUAGGUGCUAAUAUAGUUAAACGUUAUAUUAAAUAGUUCUGUUCGAACUUAACUACCUACAUGAUCUGAGUUCAGACC